AACUAGGGAUUAGAUACCCUAUUAUUUUAAAUAAGAAUAUUUAAUGCUGGAUUAGUAAUAGGUAUGUACUUAAAAAUUAAAAAAUUUGGCGGUAAUUUAGUCUAUUCAGAGGAAUUUGUUUUUUAAUCGAUAAUACACGUAGAAUCUUACUUAUUUAGAAUUAGUUUGUAUACCAUCAUUAUUAGGUUGAUCUUAAAAGAAAUAUUUACUGAAAUUGUUAACAAUAAAAAAAUUAGAUCAUGGUGCAGUUUAUGGAUAAGGUAAAAUGAAUUACAAUAAAUUGGUUUAAGACGGAUUAAUAAAUUAAAUUUUAUUAUGAAGGAGGAUUUGAUUGUAUUAUAAGUUUAAUAAGCUUAGAAGAUAAAGGCUCUAAAUUAUGUACACAUCGCCCGUCGCUCUAAA
rnacentral:rRNA from 1 species